UUUGCUAAAUUCUAUAUAUUGUUAUCAAGAAAUGAGAAGAUUGAUAGGGUUAUUAGUAUUCAUGUUUUGCUAAAUUUUGUAUAUUGUUAUCAAGAAAUGAGAAGAUUGAUAGGGUUAUUAUUGUUCUCGUUUUGCUAAAUUUUGUAUAUUCUUAUCAAGAAAUAAGAAGAUUGAUAGUGUUGUUAGUGUUCUUGUUUUGCUAAAUUUUGUAUAUUGUUAUCAAGAAAUGAGAAGCUUGAUAGUGUUAUUAGUCGUCUUGUUUUUCUAAAUUUUGUAUAUUAUUAUCAAGAAAUGAGAAGGUUGAUAGUGUUAUUAGUGUUCUUGUUUUGCUAAAUAUUGUAUAUUGUUAUCAAGAAAUGAGAAGAUUGAUAGUCUUAUUAGUGUUCUUGUUUUGCUAAAUUAUGUAUACUGUUAUCAAGAAAUGAGAAGAUUGAUAUUGUUAUUAGUGUUCUUGUUUUGCUAAAUUUUGUAUAUUGUUAUCAAGAAAUGAGAAGAUUGAUAGUGUUAUUAGUGUUCUUGUUUUGCUAAAUUUUGUAUAUUGUUAUCAAGAAAUGAGAAGAUUGAUAGUGUUAUUUGUGUUCUUGUUUUGCUAAAUUUUGUAUAUUGUUAUCAAGAAAUGAGAAGAUUAAUAGUGUUAUUAGUGUUCUUGUUUUGCUAAAUUUUAUAUAUUGUUAUCAAGAAAUAGGAAGGUUGAUAGUGUUAAUAGUUUUCUUGUUUUGCUUAAUUUUGUAUAUUGUUGUCAAGAAAUGAGAAGAUGAUAGUGUUAUUAGUGUUCUUGUUAUCAAGAAACGUUUGAAGCUGACCCUUUAGCAAAAUCUCUCAAAAAUGAAAGGCAUUGCCAUGGGGAAUUCUCGAUGGCUUCUAUUCAGUCAAAUAAGGAUAUGGAAGAUCACAACCAAGUCGAUGUAAGUCAUGACGUGAGUUAUUUCUUUGCUUCUUUUUUCUUAGCAUACUACUCUGUAUAUUAUUAUCAAGAAAUGAGAAGAUUGAUAGUGUUAUUAGUGUUCUUGUUUUGCUAAAUUUUGUAUAUUGUUAUCAAGAAAUGAGAAGAUUGAUAUUGUUAUUAGUGUUCUUGUUUUGCUAUAUUUUGUAUAUUGUUAUAAAGAAAUGAGAAGAUUGAUAGUGUUAUUAGUGUUCUUGUUUUGCUAAAUUUUGUAUAUUGUUAUCAAGAAAUGAGAAGAUUGGUAGUGUUAUUAGUGUUCUUGUUUUGCUAAAUUNNNNNNNNNNNNNNNNNNNUGCAAGAGGAAAUUUCUUUCUCUUGAAAAAUGCAAGGCUUGCCAUGUACUGUGCGAAUCCCAUAGAGCUUCCUCCUAGUUUUCAGUCCAGAAACUCUUAAGUUGGGAUAUGGAAGAUCACAACCAAGUCGAUGUAACUCAUACGCACUGUCGUUGAUUAUGAUGGAUUCAAAGGCCACACCACUGCUUUCUAAUCCGUACGUCAACAUCUUUGAGGACGUCUAUUACGUGAGUUAUUCUUUGCUUCCCCUUUUUCUUAGCAUACUUAUCUAUAUAUUUUUUAUCAAAGGAUAAUAGUAAGAUUGAUAGUGUUAUAGUGUCGAUUGUUUUGCCUAAUUGUUGCGUAUAUGUAUCCAUACUCCAAAGAGAAGAUUGUAAUAUUAGUUAGUGUUCGUGUCUUUUGCUAAAAUUUUAUUUAUCAAGAAACGAGAGAGGAUUGAUAGUGCUGAUUUUAGUAGUUUCUUGUUUACGUAAAAUUGUAGACUUAUUUCAAGAAAUGAGAAAGAUUGAUAAAUGUUAUUAGUUUUGCUUGUUUUGCUUAAAUUUGCUGAUGUUAUCAAGAAAUAUAGAUGAUAGUGUUAUUAGUGUGCUUGUUUUUCUAAAUUUGUAUAUUUAUUCAAGAAAUGAGAAGGUUGAUAAGUAUUUAAGUUUCUUGUGUUGCUAAAUUUUUAUAUUGUUUUUAGCAAAGGAAAUUGAGAAGGUUGAUAGUGUUAUUAGUAUUCUUGUUUUGCUACAAUUUUGUUAUUGUUACUCAAGAAAUGAGAAGAUGAUAGUGUUAUUUAGUGAUUCUUGGGGUUUACAAAGGAAACGUUGACGUCUGACCUAUGCUCUCAUUAAAAUUCUCUGGGAAAAAUGAACAGCAUUGCCUAGAGAAGUUUCCAUGCUGCUCUUCAGUCAAAUAAGGGAUAUGGAAGAUUCACAACCAAGCGAGUAUAGCCAUGAGCGCUACUAAUUUCGUUGGAAAUUAUGAUGGCUUCAGAACGCCACACGCUGUCUUCCUUUUUAUCCGUGACGCACAUCUUUAGGACCUUCUAUUCGGGGAGUUAGUGUCUUUGCUUUCUUUUUUCUUAGGCUAUACUUUAUCUGUAGGUAUUGUUCAUUCCAAUAUUAAGCUAGAUUUUGAGAUAGUGUGGUUUAGUGUUCUUGUUUUGCUAAAUUAUAUAUUGUUAUCAAGUAAAUGAGAGAGUGGAUAAGUGUUAUUGGUGGUUUCUUGUUUUGCUAAAUGUGUGGUAUAUUGUAUCAAGAAAUGUAGAAGAUUUGAAGUGUUAUUUGUGUUCUUGUUGUGACUAAAUCUACUAAACAAUUUGUCUUAUUGUUAUCAAGAAGAUGAGAAGAUUGAUAGUGUUAUUAAUGUUGUGAGUUGCUAAAUUUGGCUUUUGUUACUCAAGAAAUCGAGAAAGAUUGAUAGUCGUUAUUAGUGUUCUUGUUGCUAAAUUUUGUAUAUUUUACCCAAAGAAAUGAUGAAGAUUGAUAGUUGUUAUUAGUGGUUCUUGUUUUGCUAAAUUGGUAUAUUGUUAUCAGAAAUCGAAGAAGGAUUUAUAGUGUUAUUAGUGUUCUUGUUUUGCGUUAAAUUGUAUAUUAUUAUCAAGAAAUGAGAAGGUUGAUAGUCGGGUAGUUAGUGUCUCUCUCGUUUUGCUAAAUUUUGUUAUGUUAUCAAGGAAAUGAGAAGAUUGAUAGUGUUAUUAGUGUUCUUUUAUUAUUUCAAGAAACGUUUCGAAGCUGACCCUUGAUAGCGAAAUCUCUCAAAAGAAAGCAUGCACAUAAAGGACGAAAUUCUCCAAUUGGCUUUGCUAGUCAUCAAAAAGGAAUGGAAGACACAACCAAAGUGGCUAUGUAAGUCAUGACGCACUGUUCGUUUGAAUUUAGUGUAUGGCUUCACAAGGCCACACCCCGAACGCUUCCUGAUAUUGCGGUACGGCCACAUCUUUAGGACUCUAUUACGUCGAGUUAUUUCUUUGCUUCUUUGGUUUCUUAGCAGACUAACUACUGAUCUAUUGUUAUCAAGAAAUGAGAAAAAGAUAUGAUAGUGUUAGUAGUGUCAAUGUGUUUCGCUAAAUUUUGUAUAUUGUUAUCAGAAAUGAGAAGGAGUUUCUAGUGUUCAUCUAAGCUGUUCUUGUUUUUUCUGUAAUUAGUUAUAUUGUGUAUCAAGAAAUGAGACGAUUGAUUAGUUGAUUACCGUGUUCUUAUUAUUGCCUAAAUUUUGUAUAUUGUUUCAAGAACAUAGAAGAUUGAUAAUUUAUAGUGUUUUCUCUGUUUGCUAAUUUGUAUACGUAUAUUCAAUGAAUAGGAAGGAUUGAUAGUGUUAUUAGUGUUCUUGUUUGCUAAACUUUCGUGUAUAUUGUAUAUCCAAGCAAAUGAGAAUGAUUAUAGUUGUUAUUAGUGUUCUUGUUUUGCGCUAAAUUUGUAUAUGUUAUCAAGAAAUGAGAAGAUUGAUAUGUGUUAUUAUGUUGUUCUUGUUUUGCUAAAUUACUGUAUAUUGUAUCAAAAAAUGAGAAGAUUUGAUAGCUAGUUAUUGUGUUCUUUCUCGUGUUUUGCUAAAUUUGUAUAUAUGUUAUCAAGAAAUAGGAAGUUGAUAGUGUUAUUAGCUGUUCUUGGUUUUUAUAAAUUAUUGUAUAUUUAUGUAAGAAAUGAGAAGAUUGAUAUGUUAUUAGUGUUCUUGUCUUUUUUGCUAAAUUUGAUAUUGUAUCAAGAAAUGGAGAACUGAUUGAUAGUGUUUAGUGUUUAGUCAUUGUUUUGCUAAUAUGUAUACUUUGUAUCAAGAAAUGAGAGAUUGAUAGUUGAUAGGUGUUCUUGUUUUAGCUAAUAUUGUAUAUUGUUAUCAAGAAAUGAGAAGCAUUGAUAGUGUUAUUAGUGUUCUUGCUUUUGCCUAAAUUGUAUAUUGUUAUCAAGAAAUGAGAAGAUGGAUGAUAGUGUUAUUAGUGUUCUAUUUUUUGCUAAAUUUUCGCUAUAUUGAUUAUCAAGAAAUGAGAAGAUUGAUAGUGAUUUAGUGUUCUUCUUUUGCUAAAUUUUGUUAUAUUGUUUAUUAUCAAAAAGUGAGAAGAGUGAUAGAUUAGUUGUCGUUCUUGUUUUGCUUAAUUGGUAUAUUGUUAUCAAGAAAUAGAGAAGAUUGAUUAGUGUUAUUAGUGGUUUCUUGUUUUGCUAAAUUUGUAUAUUGUGUAUCAAGAAAUUGAGAGAUUGAUAGUGUAUUAGUGUUCUGUUUUGCUAAAUUUGCGUAUAUUGUUAGCAAGAAGUGAGCAAGGAUUUACUAGUGUUAUUAGGUUUCUUGUUAUUGCUAAAUUUUUGUAUAAUUAUUAAUCAAGAGAAUCGAGAAGGUUGAUAGUGGAUUAGUGCUUUCUUUUUUGCCUUAAAUUUUGUAUAUGCUUAUCUUAAUGAGAAUGAGAAGAUUGAGUGUGAUAAGUGAUUUCUAUGUUUUGCUAAUAUUUCCGUAAUAUUUUUAUCAAGAAAUGUAGAAGAUUUGAUAGUUGUAUAGAUGCCUUCUGUGUGUGCUCUAAAUUUGUAUAUUGUUACAAGAGAGAGAACAAGAUUGAUAGUGUUAUGGUGGGGUAGUGUUCUUGUUUGCUAUAAUUUGGCUAUAUUGUUAUCAAGAAAUAGAAAUUUAGAGGUAUUAGUGUUCUCGUUUUUGCAAAUUUUGUAUAUUAUUAUCAGAAUGAGAAGGUUGAUAGUGUUAUUAGUGUUCGUGUUUUGCUAAAUUUUGUUAUUGUUAUCAAGAAAUGAGAGAAUUGAUAGUGUUAUUAGUGUGCUAUAUCAAGAAACGUUUGACGACUGACCCUUUAGCAAAAAUCUGCUCAAAAAGUUGAAAGGCCCAUUGAUAGGGAAUUCUCCAGUGGCAUUCUAUCACCCCAAAUCAAGGAUAUGAAGCAUCAAAGCAGAACCAAGUCUUAUGUAAGCUAUGACGCACUGUUCGUUUGAAAUUUAUUGAUGGUCUUCAAAGGCCACACAGACUGCUUCCUAUAUUCGUAGCACAUCUUUAGGACACCUCCUAUACGUGGAGUUAUUUUCUUUGUUCUUUUUUCUCCUUUAGCAUACUAAUAUGUAACGGUUAGCAAAGAAUAGAGAAAGAAUUGAUAGUGUUAUUAGUGUUCUUUCUGCCCUAAUUGUAAUGUGUUAGUCAGAAAUGAGAAGAUUGUAGUGUUAUAGUUGUUCUCUCUUGCUAAAUUGGUAUAUUUUAUCAGAAAUGAGAAGAUUUAUAGUGUAUCUCCUGCUCUUGUUGUGCUAAUUCUCGUAUAUUAUUAUCAUAGUAAAUGAGGAAGCGUUGAUAGUGUAUUAGUCGUUCUUGUUAUGGCAUAAAAUAUUUAUUCUCUUGUAUAUUGUAGUUCAAGAAAAUGAGAGAUUGAGUGGUUAAUAAUUGUUCUUGUUAUUGCUAAAUUUGGAUAUUGUUUCAAGAAAUGAGAAGAUUGAUAGUCGUUAUUAGUGUUCUUGUUUUGCUAAAUUUUGUAUAUUGUUUACCCAGAAGAGAGAGCAUGUUGAUAGUGUUAUUAGUGUGCCUUUGCUAUUGUAUAUUGGUAUCAAGAAAUGAGAAGAUUGUUAUAGUGUUAUUAGUGUUUCGUUUUUGCUAAAUUUGUAUGAUUAUUUAUCAAGAAAUGAGAGGUUAUGUAGUUUAUUAGAUGUUCUUGUUUUGCAAAUUUGUAUAUUGUAUCAAGAACAUGAGAAGGAUGGGAUAGUGUUAUUUAAGUGUUCUGAUUAUCAAGAAAACGUUUGACGCUUGACCCUUAGCAAAAUCCUCAAAAUAUGAAAGGCAUUUGGCCAGUCGGAAUCUCAUGGCUUCUAUUCAGUCAAAUAAGGAAUAUGGAAGAUUCAGCACACCUAAGUCUUGUCCAAGUCAUGAACGCACUGUGUCGUGUUGAAGUGAGGAGAUGGCUUCAGAAGCGCCACACACUGCUUCCUAUGAUUCGUACGCACAUCUGUGGACUCUAUUGGUACGUGAGUUAUUUCUUUGCUUCUUUUUUCUAGCAUACUAAUAUGUAUAUGUUUAUCAAGAAUGAGAAGAUGAUCAGUUGUUAUUAGUGUUCUUGUUUGCUAAAUUUUUGUAUAUUAGGUUAUCAAGAAAUGAGAAAGAUGAUAUGUAAAGAUGUUCUUGCUUUGCUAAGUUUUGUAUUUUUAUCAAGAAUGAAGACGAUUGAUAGUUGUGAUUAGUGUUCUUAUUUUGCCUCAACAUUUCGCUCCUCCUUGUUAACAGAAAAGGAUGAUUGAUGAGAUGUUAGAGUGUUCCUUGUUUUGCCUAAAUUUUGUAUAUCGUAUCAAUAAAUGAGGAAGAUUGAUAGUGUUUUAUUAGUGUUCUUGUUUGUGUAAAUUUUGUAUAUUGAUAUCAAAGAAAAUGGAGAAGAUGAUAGUGGUUAUUAGUUUCUUGUUUUGCCCUUAAUUUUGUAUAUUGUUAUCAAGAAAAUGAGAAGAAUUGAUAGUGUUAUUUGUGUUCUUGUUUUGCUAAAUUUUUAGUAUAUUGUUAUCAAAAAAUCAGAAGAUGAUAGUCGUUAUUAUGUUCUUGUUUGCUAAAUUUUGUAUAUUGUUAUCAAAGAAAAUAGAAGGUUGAUAUUAUUAGUUUUCUGUUUUGUUUAAUUUUGUAUAUUGUUUAUCAAGAAAUGAGAAGAUAAGAUUGAUAGUGUUAUUUGUGUUCUUGUUUUGCUAAAUUUUGUAUAUUGUUAUCAAGAAAUGAGAAGAUUAAUGGUGUUAUUAGUGUUCUUGUUUUGCUAAAUUUUAUAUAUUGUUAUCAAGAAAUAGGAAGUUUGAAAGUGUUAAUAGUUUUCUUGUUUUGCUAAAUAUUGUAUAUUGUUAUCAAGAAAUGAGAAGAUUGAUAGUGUUAUUAGUGUUCUUGUUUUGCUAAAUUAUGUAUAUUGUUAUCAAGAAAUGAGAAUAUUGAUAUUGUUAUUAGUGUUCUUGUUUUGAUAUAUUUUGUAUAUUGUUAUAAAGAAAUGAGAAGAUUGAUAGUGUUAUUAGUGUUCUUGUUUUGCUAAAUUUGGUAUAUUGUUAUCAAGAAAUGAGAAGAUUGGUAGUGUUAUUAGUGUUCUUGUUUUGCUAAAUUUUGUUUAUUGUUAUCAAAAAAUGAGAAGAUUGAUAGUGUUAUUAGUGUUCUUGUUUUGCUAAUAUUUGUAUAUUGUUGUCAAGAAAUUAGAAGAUUGAUAGUGUUAUUAGUGUUCUUGUUUUGCUAAAUUUUGUAUAUUGUUAUCAAGAAAUGAGAAGAUUGAUAGUGUUAUUAGUGUUCUUGUUUUUCUAAAUNNNNNNNNNNNNNNNNNNNNNNNNNNNNNNNNNNNNNNNNNNNNNNNNNNNNNNNNNNNNNNNNNNNNNNNNNNNNNNNNNNNNNNNNNNNNNNNNNNNNNNNNNNNNNNNNNNNNNNNNNNNNNNNNNNNNNNNNNNNNNNNNNNNNNNNNNNNNNNNNNNNNNNNNNNNNNNNNNNNNNNNNNNNNNNNNNNNNNNNNNNNNNNNNNNNNNNNNNNNNNNNNNNNNNNNNNNNNNNNNNNNNNNNNNNNNNNNNNNNNNNNNNNNNNNNNNNNNNNNNNNNNNNNNNNNNNNNNNNNNNNNNNNNNNNNNNNNNNNNNNNNNNNNNNNNNNNNNNNNNNNNNNNNNNNNNNNNNNNNNNNNNNNNNNNNNNNNNNNNNNNNNNNNNNNNNNNNNNNNNNNNNNNNNNNNNNNNNNNNNNNNNNNNNNNNNNNNNNNNNNNNNNNNNNNNNNNNNNNNNNNNNNNNNNNNNNNNNNNNNNNNNNNNNNNNNNNNNNNNNNNNNNNNNNNNNNNNNNNNNNNNNNNNNNNNNNNNNNNNNNNNNNNNNNNNNNNNNNNNNNNNNNNNNNNNNNNNNNNNNNNNNNNNNNNNNUGUUCUUGAGAUUUACCUGUAUAUUGUUAAUGAAGAAAUGAAGAAGAUUGAUUUAGUGUUAUUAGUGUCUUGUUUUGCUAAAUUUUGUAUAUUGUUAUCAAGAAUGAGAAGAUUGAUAGUGUUUAUUAGUGGUUCUUGUUUUGCUAAAUUUUGUAUAUUGUUAUCAAGAAAUGAGAAGAUUGAUAGUGUUUAUUAGUGUUCUUGUUUUGCUAAAUUUUGUAAUUUUGUUAUCAAGAAAAUGAGAAAGGUAGAUGUUAUUAAGUGUCUUGUUUUGGCUAAUUUUGUAUAUUGUUAUCUAAGAAAUGAGAAGAUUGAUAGUGUUAUUAGUGUUCUUGUUUUGCUAAAUUUGUAUAUUGUUAUCAAAGAAAUGAGAAAGAUUGAAUAGUGUUAUUAGUGUUCUUGUUUUGGCUAAUUUUGUAUAUUUGUUAUCAAGAAAUAGAAGAUUGAUAGUGUUAUUAGUGUUCUUUUUGCUAAAUUUUGUAUAUUGUUAUCAAGAAAUGAGAAGAUUGAUAGUGUUAUUAGUGUUCUUGUUUGCUAAAUUUUGUAUAUUGUUAUCAAGAAAUGAGAAAGAUUGAUAGUGUUAUUAGUGUUCUUGUUUUGCUAAAUUUUGUAUAUUGUUAUCAAGAAAUGAGAAGAUUGAUAUGUGUUAUUAGUGUUCUUGUUUUGCUAAAUUUUUGUAUAUUGUUAUCAAGAAAUAGAGAAGAUUGAUAGUGUUAUUAGUGUUCUGUUUUGCUAAAUUUUGUAUAUUGUUAUCAAGAAAUGAGAAGAUUGAUAGUGUUAUUAGUGUUCUUGUUUUGCUAAAUUUUGUAUAUUGUUAUCAAGAAAUUGAGAAAGAUUGAUAGUGUUAUUAGUGUUCUUGUUUUGCUAAUUUUUUGUAUAAAUUGUUAUCAGAGAAAUGAGAAGAUUGAAGUGUUACUAUAGUGUUCUUGUUAUCAAAACAUUAACAGCUGACAAUCCCUUUACCAAAUCUCCCAAAUGAAAGGCAUUGCGCAUGGGAAUUCUCCAUAGCUCUGUUAGUGCAGAAUAUGGGAUAAUGUGGUAUAGAUACACAAACUAGGACGGAUGUAGCCAUGACGCACUGUAUCGUUCGGGAAUUUAUGAUGGCUCUCAAAGGCCACACCGCCGCUGGCUUCCUAUAUCCCGUACGCACAUCUUAGGACGCGGGUAUUACGUGAUUUAUUUUUUUGCUCUUUAACCACUUACCUGUAUACUUGUUAUGAGAAAUGAAAGGAUUUAUAGUGUUAUUAGUGGUUCUGUAAAUUGCGCUAAAUUUGUAAUAAUGUCUAAAGAAAAUGAGAAGAAUCUGAUAGUUUAUUAGUGUUCUUGUUUGCUAAAUUUGGUAUAUGUGUCAGAAAUAAGGAAGAUUGAUAUGUUGUAGUGUUCUGUUUUGCUAAAUUGUAUAGUUAUCACAGAAAUGAGAAAGAUUGAUACUUAUUAUUUCUUUUUUGCCAAAUUGUAUAUUAUAAAAUGAGAAAUGAUGGUAUAUUAUUGUGUUGUUGUUUUGCUAAAUUUUGUACUAUCUAGUUAUCAUGAAAUUAGAGAUUAUAUAGGUCGUUGGAAUUGUAAUUUCUGUCUAUGUUAAUCUUUUGCUAAAUUGUAUAUUGUUAUCAAGAAAUGAAAAUGAUUUUAUUUUUUGUGUUCUAAUUUGGUUAUGGCUGAAAUAAGUGAUAUUAUUGUGUUGUCAAAAAUGAUAUCUGACAAUAAAUGAUAGAUUAAAUGUCUGUGUUUUGCUAAAUUUGUAUACAUGUUAUCCUAAAAAUGAGAACAUGGAUAAGUGUUACAUAGUGUUCUUACGUUUGUUGGAAAUUUGUAUAUUGUUAUCAGAAUGGAAGAAUUGAAUAGUGUUAUUAGUGUUCUUGUUUUGCCUAAUUUUUGUAUAUUUUACAAGAAAUGAGAAAUGAUAGUGUAUUAGUGUUCUUGUGGUUUGCUAAUUUGUCAUAAUGUUAAUCCAGAAAGAGAAAUCUGAUCAUGUAUAUAGUUCUUGUUUGGCUACAAAUUUGUUAUUAUUAUCAAGAAAAGAAUAGUUAUAGUUUCUUUGUUUUGCUAAAUUUGUAAUAUUUUGUCAAGAAAAUAAAAUUGAUAGUUAUUAGUGCUUGUUGCAAACUUUAUAAUUGUUAUCAAGAAUGCAAAAGAUCGGAUAGCUGUUAUAGUUUCUUGUGUUUGCUAAUAUUUGUAUAUUCUUUACAGGAAAUAGAAGAUAGAUAUGGUUAUAGUUCUUGUUUGCUAAAUUGUGCUAUAUGAUUAUCAAGAAAUGAAAAAAACUUGGAUAGUGUUAUAUAUGUUUCUGUUUUUGCUAAAUUUAAGUUAUUGUUACCAAGAAGAGAAGAUUUGAUAGUGUUAUUAGUCGUUCUGUUUUGCUAUUUGUAUGAUGGUUUGCAAGAAAUAGCAAGAUUGGAUAGUGUUAUAGUGUCUUCGUUUGCUAAAUUAGUCAUAUUGUUCAAAGAAAUGAGAAAUUGAAGUAUGUCGGUUCAAAUGUAUUUAUAAGAGAUGUUGUACCUGCUUUUGCUAAAUUGUUGUAUAAUUGUAUCAAUGAAAAAAGAUGAAAUGUUGAUUAGUGUCUCUUGUUUUGCUAAAUAUUGUAUAUUGUUAUCAAGAAAGAAGAGAUUGAUAUGUUGUUAGGUUCUUAGUUUUGCUAAUUUUGUUAUCAUGUUUAUAAAGAAAUGAGAAGAUUGAUAGUUUAUUAAGUGUUCUUGUUCGUAAAUUUGUAAUUUAUUUCAAGAAAUGAGAAAGUGAUAGUGUUAUUAGUGUUCUGUUUGCCUAAAUUUUGUAUAUUGUUAUCAAGUAAAAAUGAGAAGAUUGAUAUUAAUUAGUUUAUUGUUUGCUAAAUUUGUAUAUUGUUAUCAAGAAAUCAGAAGAUGAUUAGUGUUAUUAGUGAUCUUUGUUUCCCUAAAUUUUGUAAUAUCUUAUCAAGAAAUGAGAAAUGAAUGUUUAUAGUGUCUUGUUUGCUAAAUUUUAUAUAUUUUAUCAAGAAAUAGAAGAUGAAGUGUUAAUUAGUGUUCUUGUUUUGCUAAAUUUUGAUUAUAUUUGUCAAGAAAUGAGAAGAUUGAUAAAUGUUAUUAGUGUUCUUGUUUGCUAAAAUUUUGUAUAUUGUUAUCAAGAAAUGAGAAGAUGAUAGUGUAUAUAGUGUUUCUUUUGUUUUGCUAAAUUUUGUAUAUGUAUACAAAAAUUAGAAGAUCGAUAGUGUUAUUAGUGUUCCUUGUUUUGCUAAAUUUUGUAUAUUGUUAUCUCAAAGAAAUGAGAAGAUUGAUAGUGUUAUUAGUGUUCUUGUUUUGCUAAAUUUUGUAUAUUGUUAUCAAGAAAUGAAGAAGAUUGAUAGUGUUAUUAGUGUUCUUGUUUUGCUAAAUUUUGUAUAUUGUUAUCAAGAAAUGAGAAGAUUGAUAUGUUAUUAGUGUUUGUUUUUGCUAAAUUUGUAUAUUGUUAUCAAGAAAUAGAAGAUUGAUAGUGUUAUUAGUGUUCUUGUUUGCUAAAUUUUGUAUAUUGUUAUCAAGAAAUGAAGAGAUUGAUAGUGUUAUUAGUGUUCUUGUUUUGCUAAAAUUUUGUAUAUUGUUAUCAAGAAAUGAGAAGAUUGAUAGUGUUAUUAGUGUUCUUGUUUUGCUAAUUUUGUAUAUUGUUAUCAAAGAAAUGAGAAGAUUGAUAUGUUUUAGUGUCUUCGUUUUGCUAAAUUUUUGUAUAUUGUAUCAAAGAAAUGAGAAGAUUGAUAGUGUUAUUAGUGUUCUUGUUUGCUAAAUUUUGUAUAUUGUUAUCAAGAAAUGAGAAGAUGAUAGUGUUAUUAGUGUUUCUUGUUUUGCUAAAUUUUUGUAUAUUUUUAUCAAGAAAUGAGAGAUUGAUAGUGUUAUUAGUGUUUGUUUUGCUAAUUUGUAUAUUGUUAUCAGAAAUGAGAAGAUUGAUAGUGUUAUUUAGUGUUCUUGUUUUCCUAAAUUUUGUAUAUUUUAUCAAGAAAUGAGAAGAUUGAUAGUGUUAUUAGUGUUCUUGUUUGCUAAAUUUUAUAUUGUUAUCAAGAAAUGAGAAGAUUGAUAGUGUUAUUAGUGUUCUUGUUUUGCUAAAUUUUGUAUAUUGUUUUCAAGAAAUGAGAAGAUUGAUAGUGUUAUUAGUGUUCUUGUUUUGCUAAAUUUUGUAUUAUUGUUAUCAAGAAAAUGAGAGAUGAUAUGUAUUAGUGUUCUUGUUUUGCUAAAUUUGUAUAUUGUUAUCAAAGAAAUGAGAAGAUUGGAUAGUGUUAUUAGUGUUCUUGUUUUGCUAAAUUUUGUAUAUUGUUUCAAGAAAUGAGAAGAUUGAUAGUGUUAUUAGUGUUCUUGUUUUGCUAAAUUUUGUAUAUUGUUAUCAAAGAAAUGAGAAGAUUGAUAGUGUUAUAGUGUUCUUGUUUUGCUAAAUUUUGUAUAUUGUUAUCAAGAAAUGAGAAGAUUGAUAGUGUUAUUAGUGCUUGUUUUGCCUAAAUUUUGUAUAUUGUUAUCAAGAAAUGAGAAGAUUGAUAGUGUUAUUAGUGUUCUUGUUUUGCUAAAUUUUGUAUAUUGUUAUCAGAAAUGAGAAGAUUUGAUAGUGUUAUUAGUGUUCUUGUUUUGCUAAAUUUUAUAUUGUUAUCAAGAAAUGAGAAGAUUGAUAGUGUUAUUAGUGUUCUUGUUUUGCUAAAUUUGUAUAUUGUUAUCAAGAAAUGAGAAGAUUGAUAGUGUUAUUAGUGUUCUUGUUUUGCUAAAUUUUGUAUAUUGUUAUCAAGAAUGAGAAGAUUGAUAGUGUUAUUAGUGUUCUGUUUUGCUAAAUUUUGUAUAUUGUUAUCAAAGAAAUGAGAAGAUUGAUAGUGUUAUUAGUGUUCUUGUUUUGCUAAAAUUUAGUAUAUUGUGUAUCAAUAAGAAUGAGAAGAUUGAUAGUGUUAUGAUGUUCUUGUUUGCUAAAUUUUGUAUAUUGUUAUAGAAAUGAGAAGAUUGAUAGUGUAUUAGUGUUCUUGUUUUGCUAAAUUUUGUAUAUUGUUAUCAAGAAAUGAGAAGGUUGAUAGUGUUAUUAGUGUUCUUGUUUUUGCUAAUUUUGUAUAUUGUUAAUGCAAGAAAUGAGAAGAUUGAUAGUGUUAUUAGUGUUCUUUUGUCUUGAAUAUUUUUAUUUGUUACAAGAAAUUGAGAGAUUGAUAGUGUUUAUUUUGUGUUUCUUGUAUCAAGAAACGUUGGACGCUGACCCUUUAGCAAAUCUCUCAAAAAUGAAAGCUUUGCUAAUUUUGUAUAUUGUUAUCAAGAAAUGAGAAGAUUGAUAGUGUUUUUAGUGUUCUUGUUUUGCUAAAUUUUGUAUAUUGUUAUCAAGAAAUAAGGAGAUUGAUAAUGUUGUUAGUGUUCUUAUUUUGCUAAAUUUUGUAUAUUGUUAUCAAGAAAUGAGAAGAUUGAUAGUGUUAUUAGUGUUCUUGUGUUGCUAAAUUUGUAUAUUGUUAUCAAGAAAUGAGAAGAUUGAUAGUGUUAUUAGUGUUGUUGUUUUGCUAAAUUUUGUAUAUUGUUAUCUAGAAAAUAGAAGAUUGAUAGUGUUAUUACUGUUCUUGUUUUGCUAAUUUUGUAUAUUGUUAUCAAGAAAUGAGAAGAUUGAUAGUGUUAUUAGUGUUCUUGUUUCGCUAAAUUUUGUAUAUUGUUGACCAGAAAUGAGAAGAUUGAUAGUGUUAUUAGUGUUCUUGUUUUGCUAAAUUUUGUAUAUUGUUAUCAAAAAAUGAGAAGAUUGAUAGUGUUACUAGUGUGCUUGUUUUGCUAAAUUUUGUAUAUUGUUAUCAAGAAAUGAGAAGAUUGAUAGUGUUAUUAGUGUUCUUGUUUUACUAAAUUUUGUAUAUUGUUAUCAAGAAAUGAGAAGAUUGAUAGUGUUAUUUAUCACGAAUAUGAGACGGAUUGAUAGUGUUAUUAGUGUUCUUGUUUUGCUAAUUUUGUAUAUUGUUAUAAGAAAUGAGAAGAUUGAUAGUGUAUUAUGUGUUCUUGUUUGGCUAAUUUGUAUAUUGUUAUCAAGAAAUGAAGCGAUUGUAGUGUUAUUAGUGUUCUUGUUUUGCUAAUUUUGUAUAUUUUCAAGAAAUGAGAGAUAUGAUUGAUAUUUUAGGUUAGUGUUUGCUAAGAUUGGUCUAGAGUAUAAUGGAAUUGAUAUUAGUUCUGUUCUUGUUUGCUAAAUUUGUAUAUUGUUAUCAAGAAAUGAGAGAUUGAUAGUGUUAUUAGUGUUCUUGUUUUGCUAAAUUUUGUAUAUUGUUAUCAAGAAAUGAGAAGAUUGAUAGUGUUAUUAGUGUUUGUGUUUGCUAAAUUUUGUAUAUUGUUAUCAAAAAUGAGAAGAUUGAUAGUGUUCUUGUUUUGCUAAAUUUUGUAUAUGUUAUCAAGAAAUGAGAAGAUUGAAGUGUUAUUAGUGUUCUUGUUUUGCUAAAUUUUGUAUAUUGUUAUCAAGAAAUGAGAAGAUUGAUAGUGUUAUUAGUGUUGUUUUUGCUAAAUUUUGUAUAUUGUUAUAAGAAAUGAGAAGAUUGAUAGUUGUUAUAGUGUUCUUGUUUGCUAAAUUUUGUAUUAGUUAUCAAGAAAUGAGAAGAUUGAUAGUGUAUUAGUGUCUUGUUUUGCUAAAUUUGUAUAUUGUUAACAAAUGAGAAGAUGAUAGUGUUAUUAGUGUUCUUGUUUUUUUUUAAAUUUUGUAUAUUGUUAUCAAGAAAUGAGAAGAUUGAUAGUGUUAUUAGUGUUCUUUUUUGCUAAAUUUUGUAUAUUGUUAUAAGAAAUGAGAAGAUUGAUAGUGUAUAGUGUUCUUGUUUGCUAAAUUUGUAUAUUGUUAUCAAGAAAUGAGAAGAUUGAUAGUGUUAUUUAGUGUUCUUGUUUUCUAAAUUUUGUAUAUUGUUAUCAAGAAAUGAGAGAUUGAUAGUGUUAUUAGUGUUUUUGUUUUGCUAAUUUUGUAUAUUGUUAUCAAGAAAUGAGAAGAUGAUAGUGUUAUAGUGUUCUUGUUUUUGCUAAAUUUUGUAUAUUGUUAUCAAAGAAUGAGAGAUUGAUAGUGUUUUUUCGUCUUAUUGUUCAUUUAUAGAGAUGUUAUGAUCGUAGUUAUUUAAUUGGUUCUCUUGUUUUGAAAUUUGUAUAUUGUUAUCAAGAAAUGAGAGAUUUGAUAGUGUUAUUAGUGUUCUUGUUUUGAAAUUUUCUAUAUUGUUAUAAAAAUAAGGAUGAUUUAGUAUAUUCGUGUAUAUGUUUGCUAUUAUAUUGUAUAUUGUUAUCAAGAAAUGGAAGAUUGAUAGUGUUAUUAGUGUUCUUGUUUUUCUAAUUUUUAUAUUGUUAUCAAGAUAAAUAGUAGAUUGAUAGUGUUAUAUAGUGUUCUUGUUUUGCUAAAUUUUUAUAUUGUUAUUAAGAAAUGAGAAAGAUCUGAGUUAUAGUUUCUUGUUCUUUGCUAAAUUUGUAUAUUGUUAUCAAGAAUGAGAGAUUGAUAGUGUAUUAGUGUUCUUGUUUUGCUAAAUUUGUAUAUUGUUAUAAAAUGAGAAGAUUGAUAGUUUUUGUUUGCAAUUGAUGGAUAGUGAAUAUAUUUUUAGUGUCUUAUAUAUUUGUUUUGUAAUUGUUAUCAAGAAAUGAGAAGAUUGAGUGUUAUUAGUGUUCUUGUUUUGCUAAAUUUUGUAUAUUGUUAUUCAAAAAUGAGAAGAUUGAUGUUAUGUUCUUUGUUUUGCUAAAUUUGUAUAUUGUUAUCAAGAAAUGAGAAGAUUGAAGUGUUAUUAGUGUUCUUGUUUUGCUAAAAUUUUGUAUAUUGUUAUCAAGAAAUGAGAAGAUUGAUAGUGUUAUUAGUGUUCUUGUUUGCCCAAAUUUGUGUAUAUUGUUAUUCAAGUAAAAGAGAGAUUGAUAGUUUUAUUAGUGUUCUUGUUUUGCUAAAUUUUGUAUAUUUUAUCAAGAAAUGAGAAGAUGAUAGUGUUAUUAGUGUUCUUGUUUUGCUAAAUUUUGUAUAUUGUUAUCAAGAAAUGAGAGAUGAUUAGUGUUAUUAGUGUUCUUGUUUUGUUUUUAAUUUUGUAUAUUGUUAUCAAGAAAUGAGAAGAUUGAUAGUGUUAUUAGUGUUCUUUUUUGCUAAAUUUGUAUAUUGUUAUUAAGAAAUGAGAAGAUUGAUAGUGUUAUUAGUGUUCUUGUUUUGCAAA
rnacentral:lncRNA from 1 species